rnacentral:rRNA from 1 species
UCGAGAAUCUUCGGCAAUGGGCGCAAGCCUGACCGAGCGACGCCGCGUGCGGGAUGAAGGCCUUCGGGUUGUAAACCGCUGUCGUAGGGGAGGAAGGUCUGGUGAAGAGCCAGGCUUGACCGAUCCUAGGAGGAAGGGCCGGCUAAUCUCGUGCCAGCAGCCGCGGUAAUACGAGAGGCCCAAACGUUAUUCGGAUUUACUGGGCUUAAAGAGUUCGUAGGCGGCGCAGAAAGUAGGGUGUGAAAGCCCUCGGCUCAACCGAGGAAUUGCGCUCUAAACUACUGUGCUCGAGGAACCUAGAGGUGAGCAGAACUGAUGGUGGAGCGGUGAAAUGCGUUGAUAUCAUCAGGAAUACCGGAGGCGAAGGCGGCUCACUGGGGGUUAUCUGACGCUGAGGAACGAAAGCCAGGGGAGCGAACGGGAUUAGAUACCCCGGUAGUCCUGGCCGUAAACGAUGAGCACUGGGCCGGAGAUCUGCAC